rnacentral:lncRNA from 1 species
CGUGCAUUACAGGAGGUCUUCCUGCAGGGCAGGCAGAUUCUUUCCGGACUGAGACACCAGGGAAGUCCCACACAGACUAUAAUCCUUAGUUUUUUUAAUUAUCUCUGGACUUCAUAAUGUACCAUAAUUUAUGUAAUCUUUGGUAUCUUGCUAUUUUAACCUAAUGUUAUGUUUUCUCAGAUUCAUCCAAAUACAUACAUGUACUCUGUGGCUCGCUCGUUUCUCACUGCUAAAAUGAAAUACUAUAAUUUAUACAAGCAGUGCUGUGAGGGACAUUCUUGAACCUAUCCCAUGGUCAACUGUCAGGGUUUCUUGAGCUUCUCUAGAGUUUAGGCUAAAGUGAAACUUUACAUCAAUGUUCUAGAAGUGAAACUGCUACAUCAAUGAGCUUCAUCAACUUCACUAGAUAAAGCAGAAUUGUUUACCAAUAUACAUUAUCAUCAGCAAUGUGAGUUCCCACUCCCCACAUCCUCACUAACACUCGAUAUCAACGUUUAAAUUUUAAAUUUUUGUUAGUCUCACAGGUAUACAGUGGCAUCUCAUAAUGGUUUCAAUUUGCAUUUCUUUCAGAAUAAAAUUGAAUAUAUUUUUGCUGGUUUUUUUUUUGUUUCUUUGUUGUUGUUAUUCAUGUUUCUUGUGAAAAGCCUAUUCAUGUCUUUGGUCCAGUUUUUUUUUUAAUUUAUUUUUAAUUGAAAUAUAAUUGCUUUANNNUAUUGCAUUGGUUUCUACCACUUGAAACAGUCUUAUUUUGGAGUUCUUUAUGUAGUUUGUAUGCUCAUUCUUUGUUGGUUGUACGUGUGACAAAAAACCCCCCUUGGUUUCUAGCUUCUUUUAAAACUAUUUUCUCAAUACUGAAGUUUUUAAUUCUUAAUACAAUUGAGGACUUUAUUUGGGGUGGGGCUAGGGAGAGUCUCAUCUUUUAAAAUUUGCAUUUCUUUGAUCACAAGGUUGAAUUGUUUUUCAUGUUUAUUGGCCAUUUGCAUUUAUUUUUGGUCAGCUUUUUUAUAUCCUUUUGUC